UAAGUAAGCUGGAUGAUCGCUCUGUAUCUUUAAAAAUAUGGAGAGGAAAGUCCGAACAUUCUUUUCUUUUCUCUUUUUUAAAAAGAAGAAGAUUAAAAGAGUAGCAGGUAACGCCUGUCGGUCGUGAGACUAGAGGUGCGAGCAGAGACGUUUUGAUUUGAAAAAAUCAAGACAUUCUAUUUUAUAAAAAAUAGGAUGAGCCUUUGAAAUAAAUUUAGAAAUUUUUCUAAACAAAAUCAGAGGGUGAAACGGCUAAAUCCUUACUUGGAUGCAAGGGCAAAUUUGGUAGCCCGCUUGAUUCCGAUGGCAACAUCGGAGCUAGAUAGAUGAUCAUCACUCCGAAAUUUUUUGGGGAACAGAAUUCGGCUUAUAGGCUUACUUAAUAA
rnacentral:RNase_P_RNA from 1 species